rnacentral:piRNA from 1 species
UCAUGAGUUCCACUAUAGGCUUCUACC